rnacentral:rRNA from 1 species
UACGAAGGGGGCUAGCGUUGUUCGGAAUUACUGGGCGUAAAGCGCACGUAGGCGGACUGUUAAGUCGGGGGUGAAAUCCUGGGGCUCAACCUCAGAAUUGCCUUCGAUACUGGCAGUCUCGAGUGCGGGAGAGGUGAGUGGAAUUCCCAGUGUAGAGGUGAAAUUCGUAGAUAUUGGGAAGAACACCAGUGGCGAAGGCGGCUCACUGGCCCGUAACUGACGCUGAGGUGCGAAAGCGUGGGGAGCAAACAGG